rnacentral:rRNA from 1 species
GUGCCAGCAGCCGCGGUAAUACCAGCCCCGCGAGUGGUCGGGACUCUUGUGGGCCUAAAGCGCCCGUAGCCGGCCCGGUAAGUCCCUCCUUAAAGCCCCGGGCUCAACCCGGGGAGCGGGGGGAUACUGCCGGGCUAGGGGGCGGGAGAGGCCGGGGGUACCCCAGGGGUAGGGGCGAAAUCCGAUAAUCCCUGGGGGACCACCAGUGGCGAAGGCGCCCGGCUGGAACGCGCCCGACGGUGAGGGGCGAAAGCCGGGGGAGCGAACCGGAUUAGAUACCCGGGUAGUCCCGGCUGUAAACUAUGCGGGCCAGGUGUCGGGCGGGCGUUAGAGCCCGCCCGGUGCCGCAGGGAAGCCGUUAAGCCCGCCGCCUGGGGAGUACGGCCGCAAGGCUGAAACUUAAAGGAAUUGGCGGGGGGGCACACAAGGGGUGGAGCCUGCGGCUCAAUUGGAGUCAACGCCGGGAACCUCUACCGGGGGCGACAGCAGGAUGACGGCCAGGCUAACGACCUUGCCCGACGCGCUGAGGGGAGGUGCAUGGCCGUCGCCAGCUCGUGCUGUGAAGUGUCCUGUUAAGUCAGGCAACGAGCGAGACCCCCGCCCCUAGUUGCGACCCUGCGGGCGACCGCGGGGGCACACUAGGGGGACUGCCGCCGCUAAGGCGGAGGAAGGAGGGGGCCACGGCAGGUCAGCAUGCCCCUAAACCCCCGGGCUGCACGCGGGCUACAAUGGCGGGGACAGCGGGAUCCUGCCCCGAGAGGGGUGGGCAAUCCCUAAACCCUGCCUCAGUUGGGAUCGAGGGCUGCAACUCGCCCUCGUGAACGAGGAAUCCCUAGUAACCGCAGGUCACCAACCUGCGGUGAAUACGUCCCUGCUCCUUGCACACACCGCCCGUC